UUUCAACAGCCAGUGUAGCGUGUCAGUGGGUGUUCCACAUACUAAAAAUAUAUAUAUACACAACUUUGAAACUAGUGGCGGAGUAGAGGAAAGCGACAAACCGACACCGAAACUGUGUUAAUAAAUACCGCCGGCGUGCAAUGAGUACUAGUCGGAGGAGAUCAUCCCUAUUUAUAAAGCUCAAGCUGUCUACUAUUUCUGGAUUGCUGCUUUGUUCUGCUUUAGCACUUGCACUUGCACUUGCGCUUCCAGAUCAACAGUUUAGAGGAGGUAGUGAAGUGCGCAGUGGACCUAAAGAGGAUACUUUUGCUGAUAUGAUCGAUCGAGCUCUCCAAAAAGAGUUCACUGAAAAUGAUGAUAAACAUCAAGCUAAUGAUGCGGGAAGCUUCAAUAAUAGUGUGGCCGAGCAGCAGGCGGUGUUGGAAACUGUGGCUAGAGUUAAGCCCAAGAAAAAUGACACGAAGAAAGAGGACAAAUCCUUUCAACUUCAUCAUGUUUUCAAACUUGAUAAUGACCAUGGAGCAGAGGAAACCCCAACAUUAAUAGAUAGGAAGGAUAAUGUCUUUAUCAUAUCUAAUUUCAAGUCCAAGUAUCCGGUUUUACAGUUAGACUUGAGGUUGAUAUCAGAUCUGGUAGUGGUCAUUGUCUCUGCAACAUGUGGUGGAAUUGCUUUUGCUUGUGCCGGUCAACCGGUUAUAACUGGAUACCUACUGGCAGGAUCUAUUGUUGGACCUGGAGGCUUUAAUUUUGUCAGUGAAAUGGUGCAAGUUGAGACAGUGGCUCAGUUCGGUGUAAUUUUUCUUCUUUUUGCUUUGGGGCUAGAGUUCUCAACCACAAAGCUUCGUAUUGUUCGAGCAGUUGCAGUUCUUGGAGGCCUACUUCAACUUCUUCUUUUUAUAUGUCUAUGUGGAAUUACAGCCUCGUUGUGUGGCGGUAAACCUUCAGAGGGUGUAUUCGUUGGAGCAUUUCUCUCAAUGUCUUCUACAGCAGUGGUGUUGAAGUUUUUGAUGGAAAAGAAUAGUACAAAUGCACUUCACGGCCAGGUUACAAUUGGCAUUCUUAUUUUGCAGGAUUGUGCUGUAGGUCUCCUGUUUGCUUUGCUUCCAAUCUUGGGAGGCACGUCCAAUGUUCUGCAAGGGUUAAUAUCCAUGACAAAGUCGUUGGUCAUGUUGCUCUUAUUUUUGGCUUUUUUGUCAAUAUUAUCACGGAAGUGUGUGCCAUGGUUCCUGAAGCUGAUGAUAAGCUUAUCGUCACAGACCAAUGAACUGUAUCAAUUGGCUUCAGUGGCAUUUUGCCUCCUUGUAGCUUGGUGUAGUGAUAAGCUAGGUCUAAGCUUAGAGUUGGGUUCAUUUGCUGCUGGAGUGAUGAUUUCAACAACUGAUCUUGCCCAACAUACUCUUGAACAAGUUGAACCCAUACGUAACUUCUUUGCGGCUCUUUUUCUUGCCAGUAUUGGGAUGCUCAUCCAUGUACAUUUCCUCUGGAACCAUGUUGAUAUCCUACUCGCAUCAGUGAUAUUAGUGGUCAUUGUUAAAACUGCUGUGACUUCUGCAGUUGUUAAAGCCUUUGGCUACAACAACAAAACCUCACUGCUAGUCGGAAUGUCUUUAGCACAAAUAGGAGAAUUCGCUUUUGUUUUGCUCAGUCGUGCUUCUAAUGUUCAUCUGGUUGAGGGUAAAUUGUACCUGCUGCUUCUAGGAACAACAGCUCUCAGUCUGGUGACUACGCCAUUGCUUUUCAAGCUUAUCCCUGCUGUAGUUCACCUUGGAGUGUUGCUUAGGUGGUUCUCACCUGAUAGUCCAAGUGAGUUUGGAUUCAAAAGUGACAACUUCCGUUCUGAUAGUGGUAAACAAAGGAUUGCACUGAUAUCCAAGGAUCUGAUUCAUGAAGGUUAAUUUGUGAGGAAGGUCUAGAUGACCUAUUUUACUUGGAAAAGUGUUUCCCAGUUCACAGCCUGAAUGGUGCUACAGAGGUUGUGGACUCUGGCUAAUUCUUGCCUCUUCCUAAUGCGAGGGACUUGAUAUGUUUUUCUUGUUAUUUAUCUUGACCAAACUAGAGAAAGGCAAAGCUAUACGUGCCUCUAAAGCUGGGAGAGACCUGGAUACAGAGGUAUUCUAACUGCAACACAACUAACAAGUCGGAGCAUCAUGUUCACCUAAGACAUGUUUUUCCAUGUAAUUCAGAAUCAUCAGAACGAUGUCACUAAACAAGUAGCCAAUCUGUUUUCUAAUAGAAGAAGGUGCAUCCCCGGUUUAGAGGGGGCUCACCUCUACCGAAUGACACUCAGGCAAAGCUGGAAUUACUUCCCUGCAAUUGGAUCAUUGUGCUGACCUGUGCACACGCAGUAAUUGUGAGUCUAAAAGUCCCAGUAAGAUCAUCGACUUUCUCUUUUAGCCUACCUCCGGAGAAAGUCUUUAGAAGGCGCUAAUGUAUACAUACACUAUGACUAUACAUGAUUUACAAGUAAAACAAACUGAUUAUGAAUAUAGGUAAUGGAAGUAGACAUAAUAUUAUUA